rnacentral:rRNA from 1 species
CCUACGGGGAGGCAGCAGUAGGGAAUUUUUUGCAAUGGGCGAAAGUCUGACGGAGCAACGCCGCGUGAGUGAAGAAGGCCUUCGGGUCGUAAAACUCUGUUGUUAGGGAAGAACAAGUACCGCAGUAACUCGCGUUACCUUGACGGUACCCAACGAGAAAGCCACGGGUAAAUUCGUGCCCGCAGCCGCGGUAAUACGUAGGGGGCAAGCGUUUUCUGGAAUUAUUGGGCGUAAAACGCGCGCAGGCGGUUCCUUAAGUCUGAUGUGAAAGCCCCCGGGUCAACCCUGGAGGGUCAUUGGAAACUGGGGGACUUGAGUGCAGAAGAGGAGAGUGGAAUUCCACGUGUAGCGGUGAAAUGCGUAGAGAUAUGGAGGAACACCCGUGGCGAAGGCGGCUCUCUGGUCUCUAACUGACGCUGAGGCGCGAAAGCGUGGGGAGCAAACAGGAUUAGAUACCCCGGUAGUCCCCGCCCUAAACGAUGAGUGCUAAGUGUUAGGGGGUAUCCACCCUUCAGUGCCGCAGCUAACGCAUUAAGCCUCCGC